UACAGAGGUCUCAAGCGUUGUUCGGAUUCAUUGGGCGUAAAGGGUGUGUAGGUGGCGCCGUAAGUCGGGUGUGAAAUUUCGGAGCUUAACUCCGAAACUGCAUUCGAUACUGCGGUGCUUGAGGACUGGAGAGGAGACUGGAAUUCAUGGUGUAGCAGUGAAAAUGCGUAGAGAUCAUGAGGAAGACCAGUGGCGAAGGCGGGUCUCUGGACAGUUCCUGACACUGAGACACGAAGGCCAGGGGAGCGAACGGG
rnacentral:rRNA from 1 species